rnacentral:lncRNA from 1 species
GUGUUAAUUGUUAAGGGACUCCUGAAUGAUGUUUCCCGCCUAAUGCCCCUUAACCCGUAUUAAUGGGACGCGUAGAUUCCUUGGGUGAAAUAACCCGACCCAGGAGAUUGGUUUAAUCAAAUAAUGAUGUUUUUCAUUAUUCACGUUUUCCCCUAAACAGACCCUAAUGGUGACGACAUCGUGCGUAUGAUUCUAGCUGCCGAUCUUCAUCUUCCUCUGAUCUACCUUUUCAUUUACUCCUGUCAUUAACACAUAACAUCUUCUUUGCUUUGUAUUAAUUAUCUCCACUUGAUUUCAUGUUACUAAUUGUUGUGUAUGUUUGUUAGGGUUUUUCCAAUCCUAUUCUCUAUUUUGCCCAAAUCAAGAUAAGGGUUCUUUUAUUUUCGAUCAACGUUUAUUAUAUAAUGCAUCCAUCAAAGAUAAGAUUCACGGGAAAAUAAGUGAAGGUGACUUUGCUUUAUCAACUAGGUGAUUCAUGCACCAACAACACUGUUGCAUCUGCUGCAAGCUAACAGGAGAAGGCUCUACGCGAAGCCUAGACCAAAACCCAAAACAGCACUAGAAAUGUUGCUGUUGCAAAGAUCUGGAAGCUUUUAGGUGAGCAGUUGCUACUCAAAGACACCCUGAAUGAUUCUGUUGUCUACAAAAAAGAUCAAAGAUAUCAUGGUAAGGUGAGAGGAAUCAGUGAUUUGUUAAGGCAACUUACUAACAGUUGAAAAACAAUUAUACUUAUAUUAGAAGUAAGAUGUCAGUUAAUGUUUUCUACAUGUCAGACUGAGACUGUAUUACGUUAAUAUGUUAUUUUAUUUAAUUA